rnacentral:rRNA from 1 species
UACGUAGGGUGCAAGCGUUAUCCGGAAUUAUUGGGCGUAAAGAGCUCGUAGGCGGUUUGCCGCGUCUGCUGUGAAAACUGGAGGCUCAACCUCCAGCCUGCAGUGGGUACGGGCAGACUAGAGUGCGGUAGGGGAGAUUGGAAUUCCUGGUGUAGCGGUGGAAUGCGCAGAUAUCAGGAGGAACACCGAUGGCGAAGGCAGGUCGUCUGGGCCAUUACUGACACUGAGAAGCGAAAGCAUGGGGAGCGAACAGG